rnacentral:rRNA from 1 species
UACGUAUGGUGCAAGCGUUAUCCGGAUUUACUGGGUGUAAAGGGUGAGUAGGCGGUUAUGCAAGUCACAUGUGAAAUGUCGGGGCUCAACCCCGGCCUGCAUGAGAAACUGUAUAACUUGAGUGCAGGAGAGGCAAGCGGAAUUCCCAGUGUAGCGGUGAAAUGCGUAGAUAUUGGGAAGAACACCGGUGGCGAAGGCGGCUUGCUGGACUGUAACUGACGCUGAGUCACGAGAGCGUGGGGAGCAAACA